rnacentral:rRNA from 1 species
GUGAACCAGCGGAGGGACAUUACAGAGUUGCAAAACUCCCUAAACCAUUGUGAACGUUACCUAUACCGUUGCUUCGGCGGGCGGCCCCGGGGUUUACCCCCCGGGCGCCCCUGGGCCCCACCGCGGGCGCCCGCCGGAGGUCACCAAACUCUUGAUAAUUUAUGGCCUCUCUGAGUCUUCUGUACUGAAUAAGUCAAAACUUUCAACAACGGAUCUCUUGGUUCUGGCAUCGAUGAAGAACGCAGCGAAAUGCGAUAAGUAAUGUGAAUUGCAGAAUUCAGUGAAUCAUCGAAUCUUUGAACGCACAUUGCGCCCGCCAGCAUUCUGGCGGGCAUGCCUGUUCGAGCGUCAUUUCAACCAUCAAGCCCCGGGCUUGUGUUGGGGACCUGCGGCUGCCGCAGGCCCUGAAAAGCAGUGGCGGGCUCGCUGUCGCACCGAGCGUAGUAGCAUACAUCUCGCUCUGGUCGCGCCGCGGGUUCCGGCCGUUAAACCACCUUUUAACCCAAGGUUGACCUCGGAUCAGGUAGGAAGACCCGCUGAACUUAA